rnacentral:misc_RNA from 1 species
GAUAAGAACGCAGCGAAAUGCGAUAAGUAAUGUGAAUUGCAGAAUUCAGUGAAUCAUCGAAUCUUUGAACGCACAUUGCGCCCGCCAGUAUUCUGGCGGGCAUGCCUGUUCGAGCGUCAUUUCAACCAUCAAGCCCCCGGCUUGUGUUGGGGACCUGCGGCUGCCGCAGGCCCUGAAAUGCAGUGGCGGGCUCGCUGUCACUCCGAGCGUAGUAGUUACAUCUCGCUCUGGGCGUGCUGCGGGUUCCGGCCGUUAAAAGCCUUAUUUACCCAAGGUUGACCUCGGAUCAGGUAGGAAGACCCGCUGAACUUAAGCAUAUCAAUAAGCGGAGGA